UACGAAGGGUGCAAGCGUUGUUCGGAAUUAUUGGGCGUAAAGGGUUCGUAGGCGGUAUCAUAAGUCAAGUGUGAAAUCCCCAAGCUUAACUUGGGACGUGCAUUUGAAACUGUGAUUCUUGAGUCAUAGAGAGGGUGGUGGAAUUGUUGGUGUAGGAGUGACAUCCGUAGAGAUCAACAGGAACAUCAGAGGCGAAAGCGGCCACCUGGCUAUGUACUGACGCUGAGGAACGAAAGCGUGGGGAGCAAACAGA
rnacentral:rRNA from 1 species